GAAGUGCUGGCAAAACUCCAAGCAGGAACUUCAUGAGGAAACCUUGAGGUCAACAAACAUAUGACAUGAUCAGACAGCAGUAGAAGUGACUACACUCUAGGAGUCAUGUUGAGGGGUUGUGCCAACAGUGUGACACCUGUGCAUCACUUGAAAGGACCAUCAUCAACAUUGCAGGACCUUUCCCAGAGAGAAAGAGCAGGGACUAAUACUGCCUGAUUGCCAUAAGCUACUUCACCAACCGGCUGGAGGUAUCGGCUAUCCCAAACCAAGAGACAUCAACAGCAGCAGAUGCCCUGGUAACCAACUUCUUCUGCUGUUUCAGAGUCCCAAGAUAGAUGCAGAGUGACAAGGCGGUACUUUGAAUCUCAGCUUGUGCAAGAUGUGUUAUAGUGCCUGGGAAUAAGCAAAACACAGACCAACAUUCUGCACUCUCAGUCAGAUGGGAUGCUGGAACAAUAUAUGAAGGCAAUUGAUAAGCAUCUGUGUAAGGUUGUUUCAGCACAUCACAGAGACUGAGCAGACAGGCUACCCAUCUUCCUGCUGGCCUAAAGAGCAUCAACCCAUGAGUCCACAGUCAUGAUGCCUAACAGCACAGUGUUUGGGAGGGAGUUGUCUUAGGGCUCCCUCUGACAACAUGCACCGGACCUCACAGAUUGGCUACAUGACAACCAUCGCUUUGCCCAACAACAUUUUAAGGUGACAGGAUAAAGACCAGCUAUGACCACCUGACCAAUUCCACAGGAUUUCAGGCAGGAAACAGUCUGGCUCUACUGUCAGACUAGACCAGAGGAAAAGUCACCCAAGCUCCAGCCACCCUGGUAAAGUCCAUCUGUACAGAGUGAUCACCUGGAUCAACAAUAUGGUCUGCUGAAUUCAGUGACAGCUGAGGGUGAAAAUGAUGUAGGUACACCUGAACAGAUUGGCACCAUACCUAGUAUCUCCUCCUGACUUCUGGUGCAACACAGGAAAAGAGUGGAACUAUGGAGGGUCAUGUAUAUCACAUUUGAACAGCUGUUUUCACAAUGGUGAGUCUGAAGAUGGCUGUCUUCUGGGUUGUUGCACCGUGUAGUCUGGUGGAAGUUUACUGACAUUUCAGAGGUCCUUGUUGCCUCCAUCACCUGAUGGCAGCAAGGACCUAAUCUACAAGCAGCAAAUCCAUCCUAUCAUAGAUUAUGCAUGGCCAAUCUUGACGUCUGCUGCCUGUAGCCAUGUCCAGAAGAAGUUUUACAAUUCAACUGUCUUGGCAUUACAACUAACACACCUUAGUACAUUAGUAUCAGGCAAAUUCACAAGGAUUUAGGGACUUCAUUCUUCACUAACCAUAUCAGAGCACUGCGAGUUUACACUCAAAGUUAGAUGAUGCGGGGAACCCAUUAGUUUGGCAAAGUGGAAGGCACAUCUGCCAACCAAGGACUGACUGAGGUAGCUCAUGAGUAACUGCAUAUCUUCUAAUUGCACAAUUUCCAUCUUGCUUACUGAGCAGAAUUAUAAACUAAUGAAUUAAGAUUAAUGGUGCAAGAUAUAGAUUUUACUUUAAAUUUAAACAGUAUAUGUAGUUAUGAAGUGAAUUGAAGUGACUCAGUAUAGAGUCCAGGAUAGGUUUGAUGAUGACUGUUAUGAAUCUUCAAGCAUUAUGAGUACAGGGAAUCUCUUCAUGAACCAACUAACUAUAGACUCCUCAAGAAAGAUUCUAUAUCAUAGACUAAAUAACAUAAAGCAUAUCUACAAACUCUAGCAUAGCAGUAAGGUAGUUCACUUAUGAACAGUAAAAUUAAAUUACCCUCUCUAAUAUUACUUACUCUUAUGCUACAAGGCAGCACAUAUUCUUCCUUCCUGUUGUUCCCUAAAUUUUUCAAUGUAUGACUUCAUUCUGAUCCACAGACAGCAAAAUAUGACACCAGCACCAAGUAAAAGCCAGCCAUUAUGUUCUAUAAAUGUUUUUUUGUUUGUUGUGUUUCAUGACUAAGUUGAUUCGCCUUCGGAAAUGGAAUACACAUCCGUUGUGAAAAUCACAGCAGAUCUGUUUUACAAGAAUUUCUAUGUGCAAUAGGAUGGCUGGCAUUUGAUAAUGGAUGUUUUAACUUUUUCGGAACAUUCUUACGGAAAACACUGUAAACGAUAUAUUGUUGCUCCUUAGAUAAAAGUUAUGAAACCAAAAACUAGUGUAUUGUUGAUGAAUCUGGUGGUAAUAUAAAUAGUAAAAGUAUCACAAUUUU